CCUACGGGAGGCAGCAGUAAGGAAUCUUCCGCAAUGGGCGAAAGCCUGACGGAGCAACGCCGCGUGGGCGAUGAAGGCCUUCGGGUCGUAAAGCCCUUUUCUGUGGGACGAUAAUGACGGUACCACAGGAAUAAGCCACGGCUAACUACGUGCCAGCAGCCGCGGUAAUACGUAGGUGGCGAGCGUUACUCGGAAUCACUAGGCGUAAAGCGCGUGUAGGCGGUAUUUUAAGUCUGUUGUGAAAUCUUAUGGCACAACCAAAAAAGGUCGACGGAUACUGAAGUACUAGAGUGAGGCAGGGGAAACUGAAAUUCCAGGUGUAGCGGUGAAAUGCGUAGAUAUCGGGAGGACCGCCAAGGGCGAAGGCGGGUUUCGGGGCCUUAACUGACGCUGAGACGCGAAAGCAAGGGGAGCAAACAGGAUUAGAUACCCAGGUAUU
rnacentral:rRNA from 1 species